rnacentral:ncRNA from 24 species
CUCUUAUCCAGAGUAGGCUGAGGGACUGGCCCGAUGACGCCACGGCAACCGGCACGUCUCCCCAGGCGUGCAGCGGUGCCAAUUCCUGGGGAGGGCUCCGCCCUCCCGAAGAUGAGAG